WUAUCACGAGAAGGAGCCUUUCCCACGGGGAGAGCCCUUUCCAUCCUGGACCUCAGCCCCCCCCCCCCCCCCCCCCCCCCCCCCCCCCCCCCCCCCCCCCCCCCCCCCCC
rnacentral:misc_RNA from 1 species